GAAUGUCAAAUUUCUAGUAUGAGAAAUUAACGAUUUAAGUCCUUCUUAAAUGAGGCCAUUUACCCAUAGAGGGUGCCAGGCCCGUAUAACGUUAAUGAUUACUAGAUGGCAUUUCCAAAGAGUCGUGUUGCUUGAUAGUGCAGCACUAAGUGGGUGGUAAACUCCAUCUAAAACUAAAUAUAACCAUGAGACCGAUAGUAAACAAGUACCGUGAGGGAAAGUUGAAAAGAACUCUGAAUAGAGAGUUAAAUAGUACGUGAAACUGCUUAGAGGUUAAACCCGAUGAACCUGAAUAUCCAAUAUAGAAAAUUCAUCAUUAUGAUUUCAAUAUAUUAAAAUAAUGGUGUGCAUUUUUUCUAUAAAGGACAUUGUAAUCUAUUAACAAUUUAUCAUAAGAUCAGCUAAAGUUUAUUCAAAUUAUUUUGCGCAACUUAACAUAGAAUAAAUGCUUUUGAUUUGAUAAAGUGUUGAUAGAUAUAAUAUAUAGUGCUUGAAUAAUAUUCUAUAAUGACAUAUUAAUUUAUAAUUUUUAUGUUUAUUAUAUGCACUUAUAUGAUUAACAAUGCGAAAGAUUCAGGAUACCUUCGGGACCCGUCUUGAAACACGGACCAAGGAGUCUAACAUAUUUGCAAGUUAUUGGGAGAAACCUAAUAGCGAAAUUAACAUAACUUGGGAUUAGUUUUUAGUUAGUCUAUUAAUUCAAUCCCGGGGCGUUCUAUACAGUUAUGUAUAAUAAUAUUUAUAUUAUUUAUACCUCUAACUAGAGCGUACCUUGAGCAUAUAUGCUGUGACCCGAAAGAUGGUGAACUAUACUUGAUCAGGUUGAAGUCAGGGGAA
rnacentral:rRNA from 1 species